AGGGCCGCUUCCCUGUGCCCGCCCCCGGCCCGCCUCUCCGGCCUCCCGGGUCCCUCCCGGGUGCCCCCCGGGGAUCCGCGCCCCGCCGCCCUGGGGCCGCCUCUCGUCCCGCCCGCUCCGGGCGCAGGUGCCGCAGAGCCGGGAGGCGGGCGCCGCUGGCAAUCACCUUGCUGGCGAGCGGGAACCGGCCUCCAGCCCCGUCCCGCCUGGCCAGACUCCACCAACGCGCCCCGCGCGUGGAAUCCUACGGGGUGCCGAAGCCGACAGCACUCCUACUGCUCGGAGUGGAGUCGCUCCGGCCCUCCCCUCCCGCGUGCCCUAUGGCUUUGACACGACCUGGGAGCUCCUGAGUGCCCCUCAUCCUGACUCCCCUGGGUAGAGGGGGCUGCAGGUUCUUCGCCUGCGCUCAGCUCGGAGGGCUGCAAGCUGAGAGCUCACGGCGGUCCCUCGCGGACGAACCCGUGCCUCCAAGGACAGCUCCCGCGUCACCCUGCUUCGGGUGAGUAGGGCUGUUCCUCCGGCUCUUAUCAGCGCCGGCACACAGUAGGCGCUUAGGAACUGCCGAAUAAGUGAAUGAAUAAAUGAGUGAGUAAAUAUGGCUUAGACAACCUACUGUAUCGAACACGGCCGUCCGAAGACUUGACUAGAUCCGGGAAUUCAAUCUACAAAUAUUUACUGAGCGCCACCCCUGUGCAGGGCUCCGCAGAGGUGACCCUGAAAGGAGGUAGUAUUGUCAUGGGGGGACUGGGCUGUCUGGAGUCAGGACCUGUCGUCAGUGUUUGGGUUACUUAAUGCGUGACUCUGGGCAAGUCAGCUCUCUCUCUAGGCCUCCUUUCCUAAUCCUAAAAUGAGAUCGAUGAUAAGGCUGAACUCACAGGGUGGUCGUGAAGAUUUGGUGAGAUAACAUACGUGAAAGCUCAAACUCUGUACGUGAUGGUUGAUGUGAUAAAACUGUAGACAUAAAGCCCAUUAGUUCUAAGUCUGAGUUUCAAGGUCCCAGAGGUCAGUGACUAGGUUCACACGCGCCUUGUGUGCAACGUGCACUCCCGGACGGCCCCACGGCGGGGCAUGUGAAUGGAGAAACGCAACUUCGCCGUUUUUAAGUCCUAAUUUUAACCUAUAGAGUCCCUGGUAAUUUUCGUCUGAGGACAGGCUUUCCGCAUAAAAUAGAUUGAUUAGUUUUCCUCUCCCCUCCAGCCAGGAUCCAGGAGCAGCGCUCUAGGCCCGCACGUUCCACCCGCGGCUCUCGCGGGCCGCUGUCCGGCGCGGGGCGCGGCGCUGGCUGGAAAGCGGGUGCCCCGCAGCCGGGAGAGCAUCCUGGAGCCCAAGGUGGAGUGUCGGGGCUGGCUGGCACUGGGGAGAUGAGGAGAGAAUGUGUCCGCGGUCUAGGAGGACUUCCCUACUCCGGGAAGCCUAAGCCAUUUCCUGUGUUGGACCCCUCUGCCAGAAAUCCCUCAAGAAUCCCCAGGCCAGAAUGCUCUGGGAACCGCGGGGAGCUCGGGCCACGCCCGCCAAGGGAGAGCAUCUCAUUGGUGGGGGCAGGGAGAGGGAUCCCUGUACGGGGACUUGGCACAACAAUGAAGGGCCCUGAAAGAACCCGACUCCGACCCUUUCUAACCCCACCAGUGCUCCAGAGGCCUCUAGGGGACAGCGCCCCCUUGCCCGCCGCAGACGUCUCCACUCCCGCCUCCGGCCUCUGGCGCCGCCGCUGCGUGGUUCCGGAGCAGAGCGCACACACAGUGCGGCGGCGCCCGAGCACCGGGUUAGGGGGAUGCGCGAGCCUGGGGGCGCGCAGAGCGGUCAAGUUGGAUUCCAGAGACCGAUGGCAAAAAUGGAGAAAACGGCGGGGGCGGAGGCAGAGGGAAUACGUAUUGUGAUUGUUGUUUCCAAUUGUUUAAUUUCUUGCAUUUCGUCCAGAAAGAGCGCGCGAGCCUGGGUUGUCCAGGACCUGGGCGCUAAUGGCCACAUAGCUAGCAGGGGCGUCGCACAAGUGUGUGAGCUGCCUGCACGCGGGAACCUGGGCUCUUCUGCUUGCUCCAUUCCUUCUUUUUAAAAUUAAUUUGCACCCAUGCAUUGCUUCACCUGGGAAACUUCAUUCGAGCUUGCCCUGCUGCGGGCGGCGCUAAGGGACGCGAGGUCGCUGUGACCCUGCUGCUUCUCUGGUCACUGUGACCUUCAGUCCUCCGGAGCUCCGCCUAGACCCCAAGCGUCCCCGAAGCCCUGGGCUCAGGGGGCUGAGCCAAAGGGCCAAGGCUAGUGCUGACCGCGGCAUCCCUGACACCUGCUCUGGCCAGCGCCGGGCCCAUCACCGCGGCCACUUGUCGGUCCAGAGGCUCAUCGGUCCUGAAUCUGCAAGCACCGAACGUGGAGACGUAGGGGCUGCGGGGCCAGGUCCCGCGGGUGGUUGCACCUGAGGCAAGGAUGGGAUGGGGGUUCCUACAGACACGACAGGGGACAAGCAGAGUUGGAGCGGUGGGUCCGCGUGUGAUGACUCGGGGGCACAGUGGACACCGCGCGGGCACCACGCAGCUGACCGCACCGCAAACAGACGUGAGCUUAGUCUUCCCGCGUGUAUUGCGUGAACUGCGCUGUCGCUCUUUCUUAAAUGACUUUUUCUUUCUUUCCUUUUUCUUUUUCCUUUCCUCCUUCCCCACUUCCCUCCCUCCUUCUCCUCCCGUCCCCUCCUUCCCACCACCUCUCUCCCCUGCUUGCCCAUCCUCCUCCCUUUUCUUCUCUCCCCCCUCCCUCCCAUCUUUUGUCUUUAGCUCUAAAGUUCCCUGAACAUCGGUUUCCAGGAACACAGCACUUGAUGUCAGAAACCUCCCCUGCGUGUGUCAGUUUGUAAGUUGCUGCAACUGACUAGCAGUGUGAUGGUAGUCCAUUUACCUGAUCUCAGCCUCAGAUUCUUCACGGGUAAAAUGGGCAUAAUACAGGAUAACUGAUAUAGUAUAUGUGAAAGCGCCUCAUAUGCUUUAAAGAACUGUGAAAUGUUAUAAAAUAAAGAAUGGAUGAAAAUUUUAAUAAAAUUAAUAGGGUUGGGUCUCCAAAACUUUCUCCUGGAGGAACUUUCCUUACGCUAUUCCAAACUGAAGAAUUUUGGUGAGUCUAGGGGAAGGAGGAGGGGAAUUGGCACACAUUCCCUGCCCAGACCUGCAGCCCUAGCACCAGAGCUCGGCACCGGGCUGGUGGAGCCUCAGCUCCUGGCCCUUGUGUCUGCAAGUUUUGUGUGUGUUUUGCUGAUGCUUUUUGUCCCUCACACCAGGCUAGAGGUCAAAGUUAUCAUCACCACCGUCAUCUUUGCUCACACUGAUUUAUCUGUACUUGACUGACAGUCUCUGCAAAGGUCACUGACUGGCUCCUCCACACAACCCUCUGUGAAGCAGGCAGCCCAAGUCACAGCACUAAGCUGUCUCCUCGAUGAGGCAGGUGAGGGGGCAGCAUGCCAGUGGCAGAGCAGAGGCCUGAGUGCACAUCUCUUGCACUCAUGCCUUUGUCCCCUGGUUCCGGGGCUGCCCCAGGUCAGCGCCCAGUCCUCACCAGGGCCCCAGGCCAGAGAGAAGGUUUUCAACCAGCCUCUGCAUCUCCCCCUGCCCUUGUGCCCUCUCCAGUCUGAUCUCUCUAAGUUCCAUUGGACCUUUCCUCAUCCAAAGGGUGCUUGAAGUUCAAGGUAACGUGAAAAGCAAAUGGGCCCCGGGUGAGGUGCAUGCUGGAAAGCAGGAGCUCUGGCCCCGGCGUGCCGGCAGCCCUCUCCCCACCACUCAAGGCUGGUCCAACAACCAGAAGCUCUGACUUCCCUCUCAGAGGCUGCACUCAGAGUUCCUCUCUUUUAACCCCAGAAAUCUCUUCAUAGUCAUUUAGGAGAAAUUCACCAAGGUCCCUAAUUUGGGGGGUUAUUAAACCACACAGCAGGGGUUUAAGAUGUAGGCUUACCCGAGUGGACUGGAGGCAAGCAGGACACAAGGACACCUGCACAGAGUUUCUUAUGAGGAUCUUACGUUUAACAGCUUUUCUACAGGGGACUAGGGGAAAAGAAAUAGGGUUUUCAGACUACAUUGUUCCUGAAUGUGGGUAGUGUGGACUCCCUGACAACAUCAAAACCCUUCUGUAAGAGGGACUUAGUAACAAAACAUUGGAAUACAGAACCCAAGUUUUCUUGGGACUGCCCAGAGCCGACUUCUCGGUCACUGCAGAAUCCCCCUCUACACUUGUACGCUCGCCUCUGGUUAAUCCUGUCUCACAAUGGAUGGUGGGAAGAACCCUGACUUGGAGCCAGAAGACACAGUCCAGUCCCAUCCGCCGUAAUGGCUAUGCACCACGGAGCACGUCACUUAGCCACUGCCCUGGGUGGAGAGCCUCGUGAGGCAAGCGAGACGAAGGACGUGUCCGUGUUGUGUGCAUCUCGAGGGCAGCACCGAGGUGAGCAAAUGCUCCUUCUGGGAUCUGUGUCUGCGUCUCCCUAGCACUGAGGCCCAGGAGAGUUCCGAGUCAAGAACAAACCUUCUCAACCUUAAUUUCUCUCACUCCACUCUGCGCAGUGAUCAGUUUUCCUUCUGUAAGGGCGUAUGUGCACUGAAAUGAUCUUUAUUUAGCUGGUCAGAAGCUAAACUUUCAGAAAAUUUAGAUGGAAAAAAACAGCAAAUUACAAGAAAGAACUAACAGUUGGUUCAAGGGGUAUGUUUCUAUCUCUUUAUCCUAUUGUCUCUUUCCAAAUGCCUAAGGGGAGGAAGGGAAACUGACUAGAAACUACCCAUAAAUAAUACAAAAUGGAAACUAGGUCUUUUCUUAGGCUGUCUGUACACAUGUCUGAUUUCUGGGGAGACAGUGUCAGGGUAAUGACUGACAGCCUGAGGUAGCACUGAUGGAGAUCUGAUCAUGCGGUGCUUUGUCACCAGCCGACAACUCUGGUGUCAGAAGCCGACGACACUUCAUAUUUGUUUAGUUUGUGAGAUUGCUUUAAUGGAUGGGCUUCAAACUACCAUUACUUUGUGUUUUGUUUUUUAAUACACUGUUCAUUGAAGUACAGCGCGUCUACAGAACAGUGCACAGAUGGGGCGUGCUGCCUGGGAUGUCACAGAGUGCCCACAGCUGCAUAAGCUGGGCUCACGUCACGAAGCAGUGUGACCAGCCCUACCACUUCACGGCUCCCUGUCAGCUCUAAACUGUAAGUUCCCUUAGGGCAGGGACCCAGGAUCAUUCUGGUUUAAAAUAUAGUAUAGUCAUAGAAAAUUUGAGGUACAGUAAGGCCAACAGAUCAGGAGACGAUUGCCAUUGCAAAGCUAAUUAUUCCCAGUUCCCGAGAGGGGCACACCAUGCUAUGGGGCCACAUGGGGAAGCACUGGGAGGGGGAAACUGCGCGCAAGACCUUUACUGUAGUUUCCUUGGGAAGGAACGGGCGGGGCAGGGGAAGCAAGCCUAGGAUCAGCUAGUCUGAAUAUUUUGGCCGGGCUCUGGGGCACAGGGGCUGUCCCUAGUUGUCUGGUAUCUGGCCCUGGGGUGAUUAGGACAGGUGGAUAGUGGCCCUGAGAGCAAGAACCCAUUAAAGGAGGUGUAUGGGCUACAGGUUUGUACAUGAAAAGUAUACUAGCAGGGGAAUUGUUUACUAUCUCUCGGAAUUGGCAAGUCCUGGGAGGGGCAGGCCUUCCAGGGUUGGCGAGGCCCCAGAUGUUAAAGCAUCAAAUACAGACAAUAAAAGACAUGGUUCAUACGCUCAUCUUUGACACUCCAGAACCUAAAAUAACGUGUUGCACAUAACGGGCACUCUGUGAAAGGGGAGAGAGGGAAGGAAAGAAGGCAGGAAGGGAGGGAGGGCAGAGGAAACAGUGGACAGUAGGCUGGCUAGUUGGUCAACGAGAGAACUGUCUUCAGUAGCCUCACUUCCCUGCCCACAGCAACUUGUGUGAAGAGACUCCAUUCAACAGCUCCUGAUUGAUACUCAGAAAGUUGGGCUGUCUCAGCAGUCUUAGAUGUCCCUUAUGAAGACUUCAUUGGAAAACACGUCCCUCAUGCAACAUAUCCACUUAGACUGCCUGACUAAAUUGGUCCUUGAACCACCCUGCCUUUCUGCUAGCAGCUGACAGUGAUCUGGGACGGGAUCUGCUCCAGCGACCUACUGCUGUGUAAUAAACCACCCCAAACUUAGUAGUGCAAACCACCGCUGUUAUUAUACCCAGUGAUUCUGUGGGCCAGGAAUUUGGAUAGUGUACACCGAGGAUGUCUGCUUCGUGAUGUCUGAGGUCUCAGCUGGAAGGAUGUGAACAACUGGAAGUAACUUAAAUGGUCAGGAGCUGGAACCAUCUGGAAGCUUCUUCACCCAUAUGUCUGGCACCAGAGCUGGGAUGACUCAAAGGCUGAGCUAAGCUAGGACUGUUAACCAAAGUGUCUGUCCACGGCUUUUCCAUAUUGUUUUGGCUUCCUUUUAGCAUGAUGGCCUCAGAGUAGAUGGACUUCUUACACGUCAGCUCGGCUCCAAGGAUGAGUGUUUCCACAAGCAAGGCAAACGCUGCAUGGUAUUUUAUGACAUAGGCUCAGAAGUCACAUGGCAUCACCCCUGACCAAUAACACUCUAUUAGUCAAAGCAGUAACAAGCCUGGCCAGAUUUAAGGGGAGGAACAUGGAUCCCCAGUUCUCUGUGUCCAGGAGACAGUGCUCUGAGUUCAGGGAGGACAAAACAAAGAAGAGGAAGCUGCAAAGAGGGAAAGCCUCAGAGAUUUGCAGAAGGGUCUGCUUGAACCUUUGGCUGAGGUCUCCUCUGCACAUGUGUGAGAGAAAAAUACUAAGGCUGUGGAAAAAAAACACUGGAGAAAAGGAGGUGGAAUAUGGGGAGUGUCAAAGAAUUGUGGCCAUGUUUUAAAAGCACCGCAGGGUGUGUGUAUGUGUGAGACGGUGGUGGUGAGAACACCUGAGGUUUAAAACUGGCAAGUAACUAAGUAACUCAUAACAAGACUCCCUCCCUCCCCGAGGCCAGCGUCAAGGCAAAGAAGCGUGUCAGCCUCUUCAGUACGCCUUCCUCCUACCCAUGUUACACAAUGCCAGUCCUUCAAGAGGUUUUUCAAAGCUUCCCCAAAGGAAAUAAUAGAAAUAGGGUAAUAGCAAUUUCAUCUUUAAGAUAGAGAAUGCUGAGACACAAGGUAUGUUUAGGCCAUAAAACAAUUUAAAGGAUGAAACUAGGUCUGGAUAUUGAAGUUGCAUUUGAAAAAAACUUAACGAGUUAUGGAUCCCCAUUUGGAACCGGAAUUUGUAGAGUUUUAUUGGAGGGGAUGGUUGGGGGUAUUUUGAGAAGAAUUUAAGUGCAGGUAGGGAAAACGGUUCCUAAUCUUCUUCAACUGGCUUCUAGCCACAGUCAUGCCCUCACUCUGACACUGGAUCUAGUCAACACGUGUUUGGAGCAGUAUGGAUCGCAGUCUUGUUUACUUGUAUAAACAGGUAUUUUUACCUGUUUACUCAAAGGAUAAUUUAAGGUGCUCUUACAAAUCACAUCUCAUUUCAUUUUCAAACAUCCUAAAAGGGAAGCAAGGAAGGUUUAUUAUUAUUACCUAGUUUUGCAGAUAAGGAGCUAAGGUUCAUAGAAAUUAAAUGACAGCUAGUGAGUGGCAGAACUAGUAAAAUGACUCAGUCCAAGGUUCUCUCAGUGACGCUCAUUCAUUGCUUAAUUCUCCACAAGAUGUAGAGCUCGAAUGAAAUGAGGCGGGAUGCAAACAAACAAUGUCACACGUAAGAAAGUAAACUUCAAAUUACAGACUUCCACUUCUGCCCAUGUUGGAGUAACAGGGAUCGUGUUUAUUCUCCCACCUUAAGCCACUACAAAACUAUAUAAAAUGUAUGAAACGAGUUUUCAGACAUUGUACACAGAUGGUGUGGGACAAUAAUCCUGGAAAAGACAAACAAACAAGGUGAAUGCAAUCAGUUCCCCUGCUCACUGUCUGGAGGAGGUUUCCAGGCCACAGCACAGGGAAGGGAACCCAAAACAGAGACCAGUGGUUUUGCUGUGUCCAGGAGACAGUACUCUGAGUUCAGGGAGGACAAAGCAAAGAAGAGGAAGCUGCAAAGAGGGAAAGCCUCAGAGAUUUGCAGAAGGGUCUGCUUGAACCUUUGGCUGAGGACUCAUCUGCACAUGUGUGAGAGGAAAAUACUAAGGCUGUGGAAAAAAACACUGGAGAAAAGGAGGUGGAACGAUCUCCCAGGUUCACACAGGGCCAGAAAUCUUCUGUUCCCACCAGCCAGGGUGGAAAGACCUCCCAAUACACAGGGCAUCAGGUAGUGUCCAGAAGAGUAUUGCUUCACGGAAAAAAAACGAGGAAAAUACAACCAUAACCAAUAUGCAAACCAGUCAAUAGAAAUAGAAGCAGAAGUGAUAAUGGAACUAGUAGAUAAGGAUGUUAAAAGAUCAAUUUUAAAUAUCCUCCAUAUGUUCAAGAAGGUAGAGGAAAACAAGAAUAUGAUGGAGAGAGAAAGAAACAUCUAAGAAAGACCCCAAUCAAAAUUUUCAAGAUAAAAUAUACAAUAUUUGGAAUAUAAAAUACACUAGCUAAGAUUAACAUCAGAUUAAACAUUACAUAAGAAAACAUUAGUGAACAUGACAUAAACUAUCCACAAUGAAAAGUAGAGAGGAAAAGGACAGAAAAUAAAUAGAGAAGUGACAACCUGUGAGACAAGAUUAAGUGACCUGUCUUAAAA